rnacentral:lncRNA from 1 species
AACAGAUCAGGGCGUGACAAGGUGUGUCAAACCUUUUGACUGUACAUAUUCAAACAUGUAUUACAAGGUUGACCAGAGGACAAUAUUGGAUUGGCAAAGAUUCUUACUUCUUUUACAAUGUAGAAAUGAAAAGAACAAUUUCAAAAUGUAGAUAACCUCUCCCAAUGCAAUUUAGUAGAGACCACAGGCCUGACACAAAAUGUAGAAAUACGUUUUACAACAAUUUUGUGAACGCAAAAAGUAUCAGAUAGAGAAAUAUUAAGAUAAACACAACAACUGUUCAGAGACUAUUUUAUUUUAAAACAUACCCAAUUUGUCUAUUUGUAGAUUUGUAGUAAAAAUAUGUCACCCGGGUGUUGCGUUUAGCCUACAACAUGUCAUGGAAAGCAUGGCCCCAUUCUACAGUGGCGCAAAAUAUAAAAAAAUAAUACUGACAACAAUUCAGUAAACGCAAUAAGUAUUAGAUAGAGACAGAUAAAGAGAGAAAGUAAAAAACACAGUAAGUGUUAGGCUAGCUUCAGACUUUUUUUGCCUAUGAAAUUUGUAGGACAAAUUCAUAUUUCAAACUAUCACAUUAGUGUUUGCAUUUAGCCUACAACAUGUCAUGGAACUUCUGGAAGCACAGCCCCAUCCUGCAAAGUGGCACAGAACACCUAGAGCACCCAAAGGAGGUUUCUACACAUCGUCCAUUCUUUGCCCUGCGUCCACUCAAGAUGCACACCACACACCCUCCAACAUUAUGGUAGCCCCUGAGCUGGUCGAGAUGGUCAACCUCGCCCAUUUUCUUGUUGCAAUCCAGGACCAGCUCUGAAAUAAACAGUAUGAUUUUGUUCUGCCUGUAUUUUGAUACUGGUUUUAGGGUAUUUUCCUGAGCUGUUAGAACAUAGACUGUACACAUCUGUGUACACACUGAAAGCAAGGAGUCACAGAGACACCAUAUUUUUAUCCCCCACUUUACUGUUUUUUGGGGCAUAUACUGCUUCCACAGUAGUCUACAGUCAAAUUAUAUCAUAGCCUCAUCCACUGAGAGGGCUUGCCAUGGGUGAAGUAGUUUAGGGAAUUCUCUUGCAGUAUUUUGAUAAAAGGCCUGACUUUGUGUAAUUUGUCUGUCACAUUAGCUGAAUUUGGAUCGGAGAAGUGCAUGUAUUUACAUAGCUGCUCAAAGCGGUUGUGUGGCAUUUUACUUGUGAUGUAUGGAACCCUGAGGGCGGCGUCAGAGGACCAGUAGUCAAUGAGAGAGGGUAAGCGGUGGAUGCCCAUGAGAAUAUUGAUUCCAAUAACGCAUUUAAUCUCAUCUUUAAAUGUGACAAAUGGGGAGACAUUGGAUGUAGUGGCAUACCGGUUGGUGUUAAACACCAGAUCAGAAAAGAACAGACAACUACCAUUUUCCCCCCAAAAAAAUGUAAACUGCCAAUGUCACUUUAGGCCCAGGCUGUGUGGUUCAAGGGUGAAUGGUGGGACUUGGGGCAGAUGCACUCCACAGAAAGGUAGGCUGGGCUAUUGCCCCUAUAGAUUCCCUUGGCUGGUGGGCUCUCCCUCUUCCUCCUCCUCUAAUUCCUCUUCCUCUCUUCUUCUUCCUCCACUCCCCUCUCCUUCCACUCCUCCCUCCUCUUCCCUCUCCUCUUCCUCUCUUUCUCCCUCCUCUUCACUCUCCUCUUCCUCUCCCCUUUCACUCCCCUCUCCCUCCUCUUCCUCCUCGCUCCAAAUCUCUAUCCCUUCAAUCAUCUCCAACUUUUCCUCCUCCCUGCCUUCUGGUACUGAGCCCUUAUUCUCCCAAUAACUUCUCUCACUGCUGUCACGGACCUAGAGGAACAGAGGAACAGACUGAGAGAGAUCGCGAGAGUUUGAGAGGAAUGGAGAAACAAAUAGGAUACAAUUGUGGUCAGGAACAGCAUCUCUCUCUCUCCCUCUCCCACUGUCUCUCUCUUCCUUCUGCUCUCUUUUUUUUCUCAAUCAUACACAUACUUGCUUCCUAAUAAUCACCUCUUUGGGGUUUCCAAUGUGUGGUACAGUUAGAUGCCUCCCUUUCCACUCACUCACUCACUCACUCACUCACUCACUCACUCACUCACUCACUCACUCACUCACUCACUCACUCACUCACUCACUCACUCACUCACUCACUCACUCACUCACUCACUCACUCACUCACUCACUCACUCACUCACUCACUCACACACAGAGUAAACAGUAUAAUCAGAAUGCUAUACAACACUUUCAAUCAAUCAAUCACAUUUAUUUAAUGAAGCGCUUAGUGGCCAGGAUAGAGCAAACAAAAUGUAAUUCAUGAAUAUGUUCAUGGAUGACCAGCAGUGUUAGAUUAUAACCGUAAAGACUAUAUAGGAUAAACACACUUCAAGACCCAUGGCCAGAUGAUUAAUUGGGCAUCGUUAGCUAGUUAUCUUUGUAGAAAAUAAGAAUUUGUUCUUAACUGACUUGCCUAGUUACAGUUUUUCUCAAUUGUUUACACACAAAUACUGGUACUUGAGACACAAUGACCACAACAUGUAACUCAUGCACCAACCCCCUGAACCAAUUCUGCUAAACUACAAGCACAAUUCCUGCUUUACACUCAAAUUGCAGUUCUAAAACACACUUUUUUCAAAACACUACACACAAUUCAUUGCAUUUGGCACAAUUUUCAUGCAGAAAAUCACUUGUUUUCACAAUGAACACACUGCCAUUCAAAUAUGCACACUGACUCAUCACAUGGGCAAACACCCAUCACACAGUUUUACAAUUAGCAAUCAGAGCUUUAGCAUAAAAGGGCAACAGGUGAGCUCUUCUGUUUUGGCGCAAUGGAUGCCAACAUUGGAAACAGAGGCAGAGCCAGAGGAGUCAGAGUAAGAGGAGGAGGACGGGGAGGAAAAGGACGAGGACGGGGAAGGCCAAGGACCGUAAUCUCUGAUGAGAUCCGAGCCACUUUGGUUGAUCAUGUGGUCAACCAUGGUCUAACAAUGAGGGAGGCUGGGCAAAGAGUACAGCCAAAUUUAAGCAGGUACACUGUAACAUCCAUCAUCCGGACAUUCCGAAAUGAGAAUAGGUAAGAAAUCUACUCUCACUAGAAAAUUGCAGUACUGCAUUUCAAUACAGUACUCAAUGAGUACAGUAGUACAGUAUUGCCUGUGGACUGUUCUGUAGGACUGUAAAAAUAAAGUAUGUUUCAAGUAUUUGGGAAAUGUAUUCCUACUUUGUAUUUACAGUAUUUUACUAUUUGUUUGGCAGAGCUGAAAGAUUACCAACACAAGGUGGUCGGGAACGUGUUCUGUCUCCUGAACAGGAAACUGAAAUCAUGAACAUGGUCCUAGAAAAUAACGGCAUAACAUUACGAAAUAAUCUCAGGAUGAAGCAGGUCUACAGGGUGCCAUUUGAACGCAAUUCAGAAAGAGUCAAAGAAUUGCGAUAUAACUAUGUGCAAAGAGUCCUUGAGCUAGAGGUGGCUGCAGUGGAGCACCAGUUCAUCUUCAUUGAUGAGAUUGGAUUCAACCUCACAAAAAGACGAAAGAGGGGAAGGAAUAUCAUCGGCCAGCGUGCCAUUGUUCAAGUCCCUGGCCAGCGCGGAGGGAACAUCACAAUGUGUCCAGCGAUUACCCACCACGGCGUCAUCCAUCACCAUGCUACCCUUGGCCCCUACAACAACGCCCAUCUGAUCACAUUCCUGGACACCCUACACAACACACUCAUUCCACCAGAUCAGGUAGAUGGCCCAGAGCAGCUCAGGUACGUUGUCAUUUGGGACAACAUAAGUUUCCACAGGGCUGCUCUGGUUUGUAACUGGUUCACUGCCCACCCACGCUUUUUAGUUGUUUAUCUCCCUCCAUAUUCUCCAGUCCUCAAUCCUAUUGAGGAAUUUUUUUCUGCCUGGAGAUGGAAAGUGUAUGACCGAAAUUCACAAACGCGUAUACCUCUUCUCCAAGCUAUGGAAGACGCAUGUGGAGAAAUAGCAGCUGAUGCUUUUCAUGGCUGGAAUCGGCAUGCUAGGCGAUAUUUCCCCCGCUGCUUGGCCAGGGAAAACAUUGCUUGUGAUGUGGAUGAGGUGCUGUGGCCAGACCGCAACAGAAGAGAGGAUGCAGCAUAGUUUUAAAUGUUUAAAUUUUAAAUGUUUUUUACUUUAACUGUAUACAUUAAAUUCUUCUGUUUUGUAUGUAGACCACUGUAUGUGCAACUUUGUGUUGGUUGGGAAUGGGAUGUACACUGUGUACAUUGUUUUUGUGGGAAAAAUAAAAUAUAUUUGUUACCGUG